GCCCGGCUAGCUCAAUCGGUAGAGCGUGAGACUCUUAAUGUAAAUGUGGAGUUCUACGAUAUAAUCUCAAGGUUGUGGGUUCGACCCCCACGUCGGGCU